CAUCUUCAGAGCAGCUCGGUUCGGUCUGCCAAAGGAUGUUGUGGUAGGAUUAUGAGGAUUAUGAGGAAACUGACAGCCCGGUAAACUCACACUGGUUCGCAGUCGUACUCGCGGCCAAUGUUAGUGGAUUGGUUUGAAGGUGUAUGUUUUCCAUUUCCCUCCUAAAACCUUUCAUUUUUAUCCGGAGAGGGACAUAAGCCAAAUAAACACAGUAUUUCCAAUUCUUCACCAUAAUUCCUCAUGUUACUGUCGCUUUAUGUGAUGAGCAAACACCUUUUGCUCUCACUGUCUUCUUAGCUAAAAGAAAAACACAAUCAAGUCCAGAAAACUGGUUUGUUGUUCGGUCCAUGUCAUCUUGGCUUGUCAGUCAAAUGUCAUCCGGUUGUCAAGUAAACAAAAACAUCAACUCUUCAGAGUGACACAUGGACGUUGUGGUAGGAAAAGAAAAUAAAGGAUGUUGUAGAUCUGGAUACAGCAGAAUAAGUGUCGACGCUCUUUUUUAGCAGCUUCCACAUUUUACCUAACUGAAAAACUGAACAUUUGUCUAAGCUGACCUUUUUUAGUCGGCUGUUUUUAUGCCUUAAAUUAACUCAAUUAACCGAGGAGGGAGUAGGUUUUUCAGUCUAUGGUGACAAUUUUCCUCCAUUUUUUGUUGUGGUACAAAAAGCUGUUGCCUGCAGAAAUAUCUCUCAAAAAAUAUAUGCUUACUUAAAGAAAAUUAAACCCUUUAAAUCUUAUGACACAGUAUUAAAAGGGUGUCCAUGUGAUAAGACUUUUCCUGUUAUCCACAUUUUUAGUUUCUACCAUAGACUGUAUAUACUAUGGACAACUUAGCUCCGCCUUCCGUCAUUAUACGAAUUUGAGGCUGAAUUGCUCUCUGUAUUUCCGGGAUUUUCUCCACCACUUGCGCAGAAGCGUUGUACGUAUUUGGCAGGAGAGUCCCUGUGAUGACACUCUGCUCAAACAGGUGACCUACGCAAUCUUUGUGCGCCCAUAGGCUGUAUCAAGUAUCAAUCAUAGAAAACAUGAACCCCCUAAUAACUUUUAAAAAUGGAGCUGCACAGAAAAAAGAGGACUUGAGCACAAACCAGUCUGACAGUAACUACAUUUCAACAUCCCAAGCAGGGGGGAGAAAAAUUUAUACUCUGAGUAAUUCAUUUCUAAAGUUUGUCCACAGCUCCAUAGGGAUUGCUGGAGGAGGCGGGAUUUAUGACCCAUACUGCAUCCCGUCACCAGAGGGUGCUGUUCUCGCAGUGGCUUCACAACAUCCAUUCUAUAUACAGUCUAUGGUUUCUACCUUCCCUUUGGUAUCCUCCACUUGCCCUUAAGCAGGUGUCCUUCAGUAUUUGACACAUCCAGUUCCUCUGAUUGCUGCCAGAGGGAAUCUUAUUUUGCUGUUUUUGUUGUCUGAAAAUAGCUGCUUGUAGAGCCUUAAGUGUCAGUAAUGUGUAAGUCUUGUAUGACUCAUGAAGAUAUCCAAAUAGGUCACGCCGAGACUCUAAAAUUAGAUGACCAAGGACUAUGAGAGGGAUGGUCAUCCACUCUACCAUCACGCUUUUCAUAUUUUUCCAUCUUAAAGAUUUUAGUGGAUGGCGUUUCCUCCAAUGACGUGUGCCAUUUCUUCUAACUUAAAGGGAUAUUCUAGCGUAAAUUUAAGUUAUGGUCAAACACACGGUAACACCGAUUUAGACACCCCCUCCAGAGAUGAAUGUUGCCGACUGCUUGCUUCUUUAGUUAUACCAACUUCAGUAAUGAUCACUCAUUAGCAAAACACAGUGGUCUGAGGAAGUGAGGAAGAAACAGGACAAGAGUCAAAGGAUUUAUGAGUUUUCUAAAAUCAGGUCUGUAUCAGCAAAGAUGUCCAGAAGAUUUCCUGUUUCUACAGACAUCCUAAUUCUAAAUUCGGACUUUUAAAGGUGAAUUGAAGCAGGUGAACAAAACAAAAGCAUUUCAAUUAUCACCCUCAAAGAUUGCGUACAUUCAAAAGUUUCCAGCCCUCUCAAAAAAAAAAUCCCGCUGAGAAAGUUUUUAAAAUUCCAUCAGCCAAUUUUGGAGGAUUUAUUUUGGAGCCAGUUUUAGCUUAGGCACUUAUUUUGGCUGAUAAAUAUUCAGUGAGUGAUGUAAUUUUUGCAUUUUCUUCACGCUGCUGCAAGUUCAGUCUGAGACUGUGAUUACACAGGUCUGUGUUUGCUUAGGCGAGACAGUUUGCAGUAAAGCUUUUCCGGCUAAAAACCAUUAAACUUACCCUUUGGAGUCAAGACACAGUUGCUUUUUUCUCCCCCUUUGCACCUGCACCAAAGAACAUGCACUGUGUUGGAGUACUUUAAUGAAAUAAUUGCUGUGAAAUUAGCUGCUGAUAUAUGCAAAUGCUAAGAGAAGAGUGUGCUGAUGUUCUGAGCUGCAGCCUGCAGGAUUUGCAUCAUGCAUUCAGUUCUAACACUUUAUGGUUUAUGGAUUUACUCUGCUCUUUUGGAAAAAAAAUAUAUAUUCAUAUAUUUUAGUCUUUUGGGAGUGAGCUGCACAACAACAACAGAAUCAAAAUGAAACAAUGUUCAGCAGAAAAAUAAGCAGAUUACCUUAAUUACUGUGGUAUAAGGCAAUGCCCUUUUUCUAAUGCAUUUUUUAAGAGAAGACAUGGCAUCAAGAAUUAUCUUAAUCUUACACGGAUUUAAUGGGAUUAUUGAAUCUUGAUUACUAAAAUGUAUCCAGGUGCUUUUUUUUUAAUGUUGUACUUCAUACUUCCUCUUAAGAUUCAUCCAAACAAUCACAAUUUAAAUCAACCGCUGCCCUCAUGCCUGCAAUUGUCAUGAAACAAAGCACAGACAGGAGGAAACAACAGCAAGAUAAGGGAUCAGUUUAACCAACAGACGGGGUUUAUUAGAACUAGGACUGGGCGGUUUGGCAAAAAAUUAAAUAAAAAAUGAUCACGAUAUUUUUUGUCAUAUCAUCUGAUCUCGAUAAUUAUCACAGUUUUUCAUGUAUUUUUUGAAACUGCCAGUUUUAAAGCAUCUGUACUAAAAACUAAAGAAACUAGAGAUUAAUAACAUUUUAUUAUCAAACGGAAGUAAACAAAAUAAUAUAAACAGAAAAAAAAAAACAUCUUUACAACAAUACAACAAAAGUAGAUGAAUAUACAAUACAGUAAUACAGUGAACUACUUUAAAGUCCUGAGUGUUUUUGCAGAUAUGAAAGACCCAAAAUAAACAAAUCGUCCUCUCAGGGAUAAUGAAGACACCUUAAAAUGUAAACAUUAGAUGAUGUAAAUGUAGAUGAUACGAUUGAUUGCUUUAGUCUGGUGGCUGCACCGCUAGUUGUGGCUAAACUGCUAAUGCUAGUUGUGCCGUCAGCGGUGACAGGCUGUACAGACUCCGCUGGCAUUUUCAUACUGUCCACGUAAUCACUCGGGAAGAACUUCUUCAAAUGAUUAAACAGAUUUGUUGUGCUGCCGGUUUUAGAGGGCACCGACACACCUUUGCACAUCAGCUUCAUUACACUUUGGAGAUACCCGAACCACCGCCACACAACCGACGUUGAAUAACUUUUCUUCUCAACAAUGGCACCUUUGGAGGAUGACUCAAAGUCACGAUUGACAUCUGUUUUGCGUCCCUCAGCUCCGUGUUUAGCUCCACGUUCAGUCACUCUGUUUACUUGUCCAGCAACUUGUAGAAGUGAGCAGGAAUAGAUCAACUCUGGCUGUUGUGACGCACAUUUCUGCGAUGUUUGAUCGAGUAAUUAUACUCACAGCUGAUCAUCGUGAUCAAACUGAAAUUUAUCACGAUCAUAUAAUCGCCCAGUCCAAAUUGAAACAUAAGCAGAGAUCGGUUCACAAAAAGGCAGUCAGAUCAGGCAGAGGUAUCCAAAAAUGUGAGGCAAAAAGGCAAGGUCCAAAAAGACAGGAAGAGGUAAACAACGGCUAAACUAUGACUGUGAAUAAUACUGGAACGAGACACAAGGUACAACAAACUGGCGACAAGACAGUGUGACACACAAGGUUAAAUAUAAGAGGUAAUGAAGGUGAUGGGAAACAGGUGGGGGACACAAUCAGACGGCAGGUGUGACGAGACAGGGGCAGGCCAGACCAGACAGGAAGAAAUAUAGGAGACAGAAACAAGAAUUAGAGAUCUACAAAAUAAAACAGGAAAUGCAAGACAUGAACAAAACAUGAAUGUGCAGAAAUAAAGGAAACGUAGCCAAUAAAUUAAUGUGAAUAAAAGGAAACUUAACAGACAUGACAGCAAUAUUACAACAAACUAAUCCUUCCCCUUGACCAAACUCACCCCAAAAACCACACCUUUUCCCCACCUUAAUAGUGACAGUGUAUUCUGGGACAUAACUCAUUAUAAUCUCAGUCAAGAGAAGCAUGAGUGACAGUGGUUUGCUCAGUGUUAAAUGAAUCAAAUAAGCAUUAAUGUGAUGCUGAACAAAACUGGUUAUUCAACUUAUUUAUUAUGGUGCUCGUAUUUGACGCUGGAUUUCAUCUAGCGUUCUGCCAGUUUGCCCAACAGCAACGCGGAGGAUCUGGAUAAAUGUGAUGUGAACAGGACCUCUGAUUAGCACUGCUGAAGGACCCCAGGGUGCCGAGGGUGAUCAGGAUUCGAGGUGAAUUGAAGUGGUGUUGGGUCACGUUAAUUUGACUGAAAUGACAACUGACAGCAGCAGAGGACGGUUUGGAACUGUAAGAAGACGACAGGCUCAUGGAGGCCAUGGCUAAAUGUGAUUGAAGAGUGAAAACACUGAGAAACCAGCUGAUGAGAGAGGGGAGCAAAAAUGAUUUAACUUUAACUAAAUGACCUCAUUAUGUCUGAGGUCAAUUAAUCUCUCUGUCCAAUGGUGAUCAUCGUGGUCUGGUCAUGUUUUAGACAAUUAGAUUUACAAGAAUUUCCCUUGAAGUUGUAUCAUGAAUUUUUCUUUCCUUAUUUGCAUCUUUUAUACUCUUCUUUUGCGAUUAGAUACACACCACUUAAUAGCAUGUAUAGCUUAUUUUUGCACCACACCACCACCGUCAUUUUUAAUUUCAGACUUCAAAGUGGAACACCAAUAAUUCAUGUGUCAUCUCCAUAAAUUGUUUCAUUCAUAUAUUCACUGCGUCUCUUUGGUUAUGUACGAUUUUCUAUCUCUUAGAAAUGCAAAUAGAUAAAGAGUUUUUCUUCAUCAAGCUUUCAGAGCGGGAAUUGGAGUUAGUAAAAAGAGUUAUUUCAGAGCGUGAGGGGGGAAGGUUCCUGAAACUGCUCAGUGGACCUUUCCCCCUCAUUUAUUCACUCUUUUGGUAUAACAUCAAAACAUAUAAAGCAUACAGACCACUGAACUGGGACAUACUUUCUAGGAUUUAGAAAAUAAAUAAACAUAAAAAGUGAUCAAAUAAAGUGGCAUACCAGUUAAAGGCUAAACCCUCUCCGAUGAAAACCAUGUUUUUCUUGUUGUCUACAUGUUCAUAUGGCAUUUUUCUGACGCUACAGGACAUAUCAUGAGAAGAGUAAGUGUGAAAUUGCAUUUCUGAGUAUUUCUGCAUUCAAAUCCCUCUGAAUCUCUGGCAGACCCAAACAGCAGGUUCAGAUACUGUCAUGACCUGGCUCAGGUGGUCACAACAAAAUGAAGAAGGAAGACACACACCAUGUAUAAACUCCCAAACAACUCAUUAAUUCAAAUUAAACUGAAUUAGAAUGUAAGAUAUGAGGCGUGUAAAUCAGUUAAAAUCAGUAUUGUGUAAGGCGUGCAUGGAUGGAAGUAGGUGUAUGUGUGCGAGGGUGUUGUAAUGAGCAAACAUAAACUACAACUCAACCAAGCCAAACCGAACCAAACCAACCAAAGUCAAGUCGAAUAAAGCCAAACCAAACCAAACCAACCAAAACAAAACAAAGCCAAAUAAAGCCAAACUAAGUCAAGACAAGCCAAACCAAACCAAGUCAAACAAAGUCAAACCAAACCAAACCAAACUAAGUCAAGACAAGUUAAGCCACACCAAGCCAAACCAAACCAAGUCAAACAAAGUCAAACCAAGUCAAACAAAGCCAAGCCAAACCAAACCAAGUACCUGUAAAGGCAGUCAGGAGAAACGAAAGAGGGAAUUGCAAGUAACUGUGGGCGCACCCAGGGCCCAGGUGUGCAUAGUUACUCCAAUUAGGGUGCAGCGAGAAGCCAACCAGACACACCUCCCACAGCAGCAUAUAGGGGCAUCACAGAUACAGUGAGAUUUCUUACAUCACAAAUCCAAGCUCCGCCCUCAGAGCCCCGCUACGCAGGCCACUCUCAGAAAAGUAUAGGACGAUCACGGAACAAGCUCUGACUUGUAGACUUUCAGACAUUAGUGUCCGAGAGCUGAAUAGCUCCUAUGUUACCUGCCACUUCUAAUACACCAGCAAUGUUAGGCUACAAGCUAGCAUGAAGAGGAGUGUGCAAAGCAGAGCUGUCUCCACCCACGACUCAGAAGCGAAUUGUUAAUGAGCUACUGGAGCUCUGCAGAAGAAAAGUCCUUAAAAAUGACACAGGAAAUGUGAUUUUGGCUAAAAAUGUCAAAAUCACAGUUUAAAGACCACUGAGAACAUUUCAAGAAGUAAAUAAAAUAAAACGAUCAGAGUGGGACUUUAAGCUGAAAGAAAAUUAACUUUGACAGCAACAAACAGAAUUUAGUGCAGCUAGUUUUUGUACAUUUUCAAGCAAAGAAUCUUGAAUAACAAUAAUAACUUGAAUAAGAAACUUCUGGGAGGUCAAAGAAAGUACACUGAACACCUGACAAAAAUGGUAUGGAUAGAUCUAUUAGGCUUUCAGUGACUGACAGCUUAAACCCUUUCCUUUAAAAGAUUUGCCAAAGCUUUAGUUUCCAGACGCUCAGAUUAUUUUUUAUCUGUCGUUUUUACCUUUUUUUGUUGUUGUUGUUGAAUAGAUUCAUCCACAGCAUAGUAAUAAAACGCCACCUUUAUUGAGAAUUAUAAGAAGAAUUUUUGUUGUUAGUUUUUUGACAUCAUAAGUAUUUUCAGAAUAUGAUAAAUGAGAAAAAGAUCCCAAGAAAAUGAUCCGAAAUUAUCUAUUGCCUUCCUACAUUUUAUUGUAUAGACUAAUGUCCAAUAAUAAUAAGAAUUCAGUAUAAACAUGAUUACAAUCAGACACAUUACAAUACAAGUAACCCUGUAACUGAUCUGUUUUCUUUUGUUAAAUUCAGGUUUAACCUCUUUAUGACAAUAUUAACUGUAUCUGAACUGGUUGGGGGCCAUUGAGGCUUCAGCAGGCAGGGGUCAAGGCACGCUGAGACUGACGCUUACAGGCCUGAUCCAUCCACUAAGGUCAGUUUCUUUAAUCACUACACCACCCUGCUGCUCCAACCAAAGGAACAAACGCAUACUUAUAGGAACUGUAUGUCUACACUGUAUUUUUUGGGCCAUUAUCGCACUUAUGAAUCUCCUAACCCUAACCCUUAGCCGACAGACGAUGAAGUUUCACAGCCAUUAGAAAUAACCAAUCGGUGCCGAGCACUUCUAGCCAAUCAGAGGCAAGGGAGGGCGGGACCUUCCCCUACCACCCUACAAAGAAAAAUUUCGCUGCCCGGAUCCCUCUCUUCAUUAUCCGAGUCAGUCUUGUUGCUGUUACCAAUACUUGGCUGUUCAGUGAUUAUUCCAGCUUUCGUCAUAGCUCAGACGACAGUUACCGUAAUGCUCCAAAUAUCUAUUGAGCGGAGCGACUCUGUUGCUUACCGAAGUCGUACUUACACAUUUCAAAAUAUUUUUGAGCACAAGUAAUCAUAUAUGAGGCACGCUUGAUUAUGAGGCGCACCGUCAAAUUUUUUUAGAAAAUUUAAGGAUUUCAAGUGUACCUUAUAGUCCAAAAUACACGGUAUGUGCUGUGUUUGUCUGCUCCAAUGGUGGAUUUGAAUGUCUACAGAGCAGAAUUAAAAACAGAGCUGUGUAUGAAUGGCUGGUCAUAAACUCAUUAGGUGGUCUGCUGUGAUUUACAUAAGAGAAAUUCAUCAAUUAUUAUAACAGGGUACAAAAAGUAAACAGGGAAAACAAAUUGUGUUUUUAACACACACACACACACACACACUCAUGCGGGAUUGACUAAAUGGGAAAGUCAAAGUGUUUGCAGGUUUAAUGUAGCUCACUUCCCCGCACAGUGCAGAAUAUUCCUCUAUGAGUUUAUGAUUAAUGUUCACAGUGUGCUCGCAGUCUGCUUCCUCUGUCACAUAUUACAAAUGGGCCAUAAGAGAUCUCAGAUAUAUCUAUAAAGCAUCAUAAAUGAUGAUGCUGCCUCCAGGGGAAAGUGUUUCUCUCUCUAUAUUCAUAAGCCACUGUUUGCCUGCUGCUGUAAAUUUAACAGGGCAUUAUUUGAUUAUGAAAAUCCCCAAUAAAUGACAGUUUAUGUCUCAUAUUCUGCGCUAUACUGCGAGAGUCGCAGAAAAACUGUGCAGAAGUGAGAACCAAGCCGCCGUGAAGCAGGAGGAGAAAAGUUUGUGUAUGAAUCAGUAAAAACCUGUGAGAUGUUUACUAGAAACACUGCGAGUAAUUUGAAUAAUUCAUUGAAUAAAGGUGUUUCAUAGCAGGGAUUUCAACUUCAUUUUCAGUCAUAAAUAUGCAUAACUUCGAUUCUUCACAGCCUCCAAACAGAUGAGUAAUAAAAAUAUUUCCCCUAACUUAGCAUAGUACUCUAUCUACUGUCUUUAUUGCUCUAAUGGCCGAUAUGAAUAUUUAGAGAGAUGAAUGAAAAACCGAACUGUGAGUUACUGGUUAAAGUUUAAAGCACAUUAGGUGGUCUGUUGGUAAUUUACAUGUAAGAGAUUCAUCCAUUAUAAUAAUGAGAAACAAAGGGAAAAUAAUGGAAAUAAAUUGGACUAUAAGUGCAUGCACAAAUGAUUGAGUUUACAGUGUGUGCGGAUGAAGCUAUUAAAACCAGAACAAGUUCAUGUUGUAGGCUGUAACCAUGUCUAUUUCUGUGGUAAAAACGGGCAUUUUAUCAUGGGUGUUAACCUUAGUUUUUGCAGUCGGUCUCAUGUGGACACGAGGAAACUGCAGUUGUUUGUACUUUUACAUUGGCUCCAUUUUUCACUUGGAGACUCCUGUGGUUUGUGUUGAUCUUUUUUUGCUGAUUUUGUCGUGUGCAUGUGUGCAUAUAUGAAGCACUCAUGAAGAAUAUCUGUCAUUGGAAAUGUAAAAAACGGUUUAUCACUUAGCCUGUCUCCUUCCCUUUGCAGUGAUUUUUAAGUCGUAAAAAUAACCCUGUUGGAGUAAUCAGUCUUUAAGCUGAAAGUCUUGUUCACUUUUAAAGCUCAUGGAAAGGUGUCAGUAUUUAUUUCAGUCUGUUACAUAACCAGCUAAAAACUCCUCAGAUAUUUGAAUCAAAUUUGAGGAGUAGAAGUUUAAUGUGAAGAUUUAUGUUUCUGAGCUUUUUUCAUUGCUAAGUCCACUUGACUCCUCCUUGACAGGUGUAAAAUAGAAAUAAAUAGAUAAAAACAGAGUUGAAUAUAAACCCCUGUCGGCUGCUUUAUCUUGGAAAAAAGAAGUAAUGCUAACUUGCAAGCUAGAUAAUCUUGAAUACCGCUGAAUGGUUUGUGGUUUCUACCAGGAAUGUAACGGUAUGAAAAUUCUACAUCACGGUUAUUGUGACCAAAACAAUCAAAUAUUAUCAUGGUGUUUUUAAAGAAUGUAUUCAGAGGCAUUGUUUACAGCAUUUUCGAUGCUUUUAACUAGCACUAAAAAAUGCCUUGUUUUCAUCAUUUCAUCAUAUUUAGACAGGAUUACUGUCUUCAACUAAGCGUUCCCUCGACGUUACGACAAAACCCAAAAUUUGCCCAUACUUCUGACUAAAGUCCUCUUAGAGGGCUGAUGGAUGUCCUCAGUGUUGUCGUCUCCUCCUUCCGCCAUGAUUCCAUUUCAAACUUAACAGAAAGUUCAAACACAAAUUGUAGGCUACACAGUUCGCCUGCGUGGUUACUUCAGGUGACUCGCAUGAAGCUGGGAUAAUUAACACAGGGUUUUCUCAACAUGUAACUGAUCAUGACCAUAGACUGUAUAUAGAAUGGACACCGUCUGCCUCCUCGCUGGGUGAAGCCCCCCUGAGAACAGCACCCUCUGGUGACAGGCUGCAGUAUAGGUCAUAAAUCCCGCCUCCUCCAGCAAUCCCUAUGGAGCUGUGGACAAACUUUAGAAAUUUAUCACACAGAAUAUAAAUUUUUCUCCCCCCUGGUUGUGAUGUUGUUGACAUGUGCUCAGGUCCUCUUUUUUCUGUGUAGCUCCAUUUUUAUAAGUAAUAAGGGGGUUCAUGUUUUCUAUGAUUGACACUUGAUACAGCCUAUGGGUGUACAAAGAUUGUGUAGCUCACCCGGGGGAUACGCUGUUUGAGCCGAGCGUCAUCACAGCGACUCUUGGCGACUCUCCUGCCGAAUGCGUACAAUGCUACUGCGCAAUGUUGGUUUCAGGAUGUGGAGAAAAAAACGCAGAAAUACUGAGAGCGAUUCAGCUUCAAAUUCAUAUAAUGGCAGAAGGCAGAACCAAGUAUAUACAGUAUAUGAUCGUGGCACACCGCCACAGCUAAAUAAAAGCCGCCACACCUUAAAAAUGUGUUUUUUUUUUUACAUGGCUCUACCUCGGACUCGUAUGUAUUAGGAUACCUACGUGUGUCGAGUAUUAGCAUUAGUAAGUUAUCGUUGGCGAUCUCACAGCUAAUUCAUUACUCACAGUAACCGUUAUCAACAUUUUUAUCACAAUUUACCAUUACGCCGUUUACCACUACAUCCCUCGUUUCUUCGUUGUUUGUUUCAUUACAGUUUUAUAAUAAAUUUUUGAUUAUUUUAUUAUUUAUAUUUUUGCCUGUCAAACAGCCUCAGCUCCCAUAUCUGCACACAAACAAACACAUCACCUGCUCUGCUCCAUUCCUCUUCUCCUGAGGUCUACAAACUGCCUGUAUGACUGUUACUUUUUUACCUUUUCCAUCACCACGUCAGGUCUUGCAGCCUCUCUGACCUGAUUUUCCCUCACUUUGUUUUCCUUAUAGAAUACUAAGCAGGGGAUGGGAGCUGAUAUGACAAAGUUAAAUAAAAUGCUCACUUUUACCCCAAGUCUGGAUGUCAGCAUUUUUUCACAGAACUGUCAGAAAAGAAGAGACUAGAGAUUCACAUUCAUCCCGGGAAUAGCAAGUAUUUGAUUGCCGAUGGGGCUUUUGGUUAGUCUGCUGAUAAACCGCACAGACAGCUCGGUGCGAGGCGAUCUGACAUAAUAGGACAAAAUAAUGAAAAUGCCAGCACAGAGAUGGGCACAGUGCAGACACAGUGGUUUGUUAUUGCCCGGUUCGGUUCUUCUGGCAUGACUUUGGGUCUUUAACAGCUCCAAUCAUUUGGUCAGUGCUUUCCACCACUAACACUGAUUUUGAUUGAUCAUCUCUGCCUCACAGCGUGAAAAUAGUGCUGGGGAGAAAAGAUGCCAUUUCAGCAGCCACAGCAAAAUAUCCCACAGCUCAGGGCGGACCAUAUCUGAAAACUGGGAUCCAAACUCAAUCUGCAAACAGAAGUCAUAAGACCAAAAAUACACAGUCUGUUUGAUUCAGCCCUGAAGGGAAUAUUCAAGCUUGUAAUGGACUCAUGCAAAACCAAGAGAUGCUGAUGUUGCUGUAGACGAAAAACAUCACAGUAUGGAGGUGUUAAAAAAAACUAUCACUGUUUAAUUUUGCUAACUCGUUCUAAAAUUUCAUGACACCAAACAUUUUAAGCUGGUUGCUGAUAAUUUAAGUAGCAAUGACGAUAUAAUGACAAAAAAUGGCGCAGCUUGUUUCAUUUGUCUUCAUCGUUGUGUUUCAUUUAGUUCUGAGGCUGGGAGCGCACAAACAAACAUUACAAACCCGCCGUGAGGACACACUGAACCUUUGAGGGAUGACUUUUACACAUCGCAGUCACAAAUGCUGCCUCUUGAAUUAUGAUGACGCUCUGACGGCAGGAUGCAUUUAGAUUGGCGUCGAUUACAGACAUAAACAUGCUUGAUAUGGAAGUGACACUCGUGACUUAUCUCAGGCUCAGAGCAGAGGAGCUGAAUCUGUGAGUCCUUAUGAACACUGACUGUCUUUUCUCUUCGCUGUAUUGAUAGAUGAGAUCACAAACAUUACAUCUUGUAAUAUUAAAGGUGGGGUAGGCAGGAUCUGAUGAAGAGCCAGUUUUUGGAGAAAUCUUGAAUGUAAACUCUACCCCUCCCAACCAGUUUUCCCUGCAGCUCCUCUUCUCUCCUCCCUCUCUGCUCCAGCAAGCCCCGCCCACAAACAGAUGCUCCUGCUCGCUUGUAUUGUUCCAAUUAAAUUCAGAUAUAAUACAGAUAAAUACUUCAGAUAAUUACAAAUGGGGCCCAGUCAAUGUGAAAGUAAAAAGCAUUGGUGCUACUGUAGAUGCCAACAGACUACCAGCAAACACAAUGUUUGCAGGACUUCUACAACUAGGAUAAAGUGACAUAGUCCAGGACCCGAGGUCAACAGUUUAGCGGCGCUACAACACGCUACAGCAGGUCCCGUUUGACAAGAAGCACUUCUGUUACAGACACUUGGCUUACUUUGUUAAAGCGGUUUACCUGUCCAGCAGAAAGGUUACAGGGUCCGUAAGAUCCCGAAGCGUCCCCCAUCAUUGUUGACUCGGCUUCUUAACUCUUGUCCGGUCUACCUCCUUUCGCCCGUUAUUCCACCAGUCUCCGGUAUUUACUUUGUUUUUUUGCUUGUGUCGGCAGUCGUGGCCAAAGGAGGAUUCAGACAAUUUUCUGUACAUUCUGGUUUAUUUCUACUGUCUGAUAUUGUAGCACGUUAUUCAAGGACGUGAAGCGUGCCUCACAACACGAGGGAGCAGUGUCGUCCAAUCAGGUUGGGGGAGGUGGAGAAUGGCUUUGUUUACAGUCAGAAGAGCCAGCUGCUCAAAAAAUGUUAAAAUGUUGACUACACAGACAUAACAGAACAAAGCAAUAUCAUGAUUUUCCCAAAUGUCA